GAUAAAAGAGCUCAUGGGGGUUCUAAACAAUGGAAGAAAGGAAGAACUUGGAACUUCUGUACUCAGUCAAGCUAUUUGAAAUCAUGGAACUAUUCAAUGAACUUUUUUUCCCUUUCCAGUUUUGGAAGUAAAUGUACCUCUGGAUCCCCUCAUGGACAUGCACCCAUGGAAAAUCAGGACUAAUAUCUGGCUUUUCAUCUCCUGUUUUACAACACUUUUGAACACCUGAGGAAAGAAUGAGUUAUUGGAAUAAGUCUUAGCACUGUGAGCAGCAACUGGACCAGGGACUAAACUCACAGUUGUACCAAUCCAAAAACUUCUGUCCCAGAGGUGGAGAAAUCAACUAAAUCAGAAGAUGGCAGCAUUGGGAAAACAACACCUCUGCCAACAAUUUUCCAUACAAAGAACUUGGAGGACAUACAUGAACAGAACAGAUCCUCUUCGACAACACAGAUGCCCUGCACAGACAAGUUCGACAGCAGCAUGAUAACAAUACUGCCAGAAGAGGAGGCUGAAGAACCAGGGGCCAGUAACCGGGUUUGUAACAGCACAGCCCCCUCAGCACAAGAUCCUGAAGGGCACAGAGUGAACAUGCUGUCCAUGGCUGUGUUGGGCCUGAGAGUCCUGCUGGCAAAGAGCAUCGCCUUCAAUACCCUCCUGAGUAUCAAGCUGUUUCUUUUCUGAGACAUGGGGAAUGAAGGCAAGAGGAACCCGAGGAAGAGCAGGAAAGAACGUGAACCAGCAGCACGAGGGGUUGAACAAGCAGUGGCAGAGCUGCUGACAGUGACCACCCAGGACACAAGGCAGCACCUUCCCCUGCAGACACUGAAUACUGUUCACUCCUGCCUGGCCAGAUGAUUUACACUGAAGAGCUUUAAGUGCUUUUGCUGUUUCCUCUUCCCUGAGAACGGAGGAGAGUGGAUUUAUCCUCAUCCUCCUGCUAAGUAGAUCUCCCCACUCUUCUGGCAUUUGCAUACAAGUGUCCUCCCUGCUUCAGCAGCUCUGAAAACUCCAGGGCUCACCCUAGAUAAAUGGCCUUUUAAAAGCACCUUUCCCAGGCAUGUUGUGUUACUGCCUGGAGACCUGGAAGUAUUACUGCUGAGGGAAUUCACACCCAGCAGUUGCCAUUUCUAGCAUUGCAUUUCAGAUAGCUUUAAUAACAGUUAAGUAUAUAGUGCAGAUGAGAAGAGCUGUGUAGGAUCUGAAGUGAUUCAAUUCAACCAGAUAAUGUUUAACCAGAGAAAUAUUUAUUUAUUAGCCACAUUUCUUCUGCCAAAUGUAUCUCAUGUGCAUUUUAGGUUCCUGUAGUAGUGAUGAAAAUAAAGUUUUAUGAGGCCAAAAUGC